CUUUCCUUCAUUUUCUUCUGUAAAUUUGCUAUAAGCUCAAGUUCCAUUUUGUCUUAAACAUCCAUGUUCUAUAUAUCUGUCUGCAAAAGUAUUAAGUGUCUUUUUUCCUGCUGAGUUUUUGUUUCUUGUAGACCACAUGAUUGCUUGGGAAUACCAUAAUGUGGAAGUGUCUCUGUCCUGGGAAGAUUUUAACCGAUAAAAUGAG